rnacentral:rRNA from 1 species
UACGUAGGUGGCGAGCGUUGUCCGGAUUUACUGGGCGUAAAGAGCGCGCAGGCGGCUGGUCAAGUCCGAUGUGAAAGCUCCCGGCUUAACUGGGAAAUUGCAUCGGAAACUGAUCGGCUGGAAGGUGGGAGAGGGUAGCGGAAUUCCUGGUGUAGCGGUGAAAUGCGCAGAUAUCAGGAGGAACACCGGUGGCGAAGGCGGGUCUCUGGGCCGAUACUGACGCUGAGGAGCGAAAGCGUGGGGAGCGAACAGG